AUAAAGUUUAAUUUUAGUUUAAAAAUUUAUUUAAUUUUUUUUUUACAUGUAAAUUUUUGUAUGAAUUGUAGAUAAAUUUUAAUAGUUUAUUUAUUUGACUUUUAUUCGCAGUAUUUAAUUUUAAUAAUUUAAGAAAUUAAGAAUUAGAAAUAAAUUUUAGUAUUAACAAAUUUUGUGCCAGCAGUUGCGGUUAUACAAAAAAUAUAAAUAAAUUUUAUUAGUUAGUAAUUAUAAAGUUAAUUAAUUUAAAAUAAAAUUAUAUUUAUUAGGUGAAAUUUUAAAUAUAAAUAAAUUUUAUUAAUAAAUUUUUAUUAUUAUGAAAUUUUUUUUUAAACUAGGAUUAGAUACCCUAUUAUUUAAAAUGUAAAAAAUUUACUUAAGUAGUAUUAGUUAUGUUCUUGAAAUUUAAAAAAUUUGGCGGUAUUUUAGUCUAUUUAGAGGAACCUGUUCUGUAAUUGAUAGUCCACGAUUAACUUUACUUAUUUUAGAAGUUUGUAUACCAUCGUUAUAAGAAAAUUUUAUAAGAAUUUAAAUUUUUAAUAUUUUAAAUUAAAAUAUAUAUCAGAUCAAGGUGCAGUUUAUAUUUAAGAAGAAAUGGGUUACAAUAAAUUUAUUUAUAUGAAUUAAAAUAAGAAUUUAUUUUAUGAAGGUGGAUUUAAAGGUAAUAAAAUUUAAUUAAAUUUUAUGAUUUUAGCUCUAAAAUAUGUACAUAUCGCCCGUCGCUUUUAUUAUAAAAUAAAAUAAGUCGUAACAAAGUAGAUGUACUGGAAAGUGUAUCUAGAAUGA
rnacentral:ncRNA from 1 species